GGGCAGUCGGGCGGUCGCGCGCACGCGCAGGGAAAGCACUCACUUGGGCUUCUCUCCCCAGAAAUCGGAGGAGAGACCCCACAUGAGGGGAUGGUAGAACCGGGAUGAAUGAAUCCUGCAGAGAACUACAGAAGAUCCUAAGGAUUGCAGAGCCACAGGAUGGAAGGGUGAAAAGAGAGAAGAGAGCAUGUUGGGAAUUAAGCCUUCUGCUGCCUCAGCCAUAUUCUGCCUGAACUGAAUUAUUGGCCAAGAACGGAAUGAAGAUCACGGGAGAGAGGAGCAAAGCAU
rnacentral:lncRNA from 10 species